GAUUCCUUACAUGCCCUUCGCCGUCAGGUCCCAGGGCAGGUUACGACAACAGCAUCUGCAAUUAUGAAAACAACAAAAACCCAAGACGCAUAAAACCAUUCCAAAUGGAACAGAACAAUAUAAAUUCAGCCAAAGAGAGAGCCCGUGGGAUGAUAAAAGUGUGCAUUCUCAUCGCAUCAAGUCCAGCAAAGGCAUCUUCUUCAUUUAUGUCAGUCCUCAAAAAUUACUGAAUUAAUAUUUGGAGAGCGUAGUUACCGUAUCUCUCAGCCAACAAUGUGUCAGACACCUAGCCGUCAUCUCUUAUCACAAUGAAUGAUUGUAAACAAGCUGCUGUAGAAGAAAACUGGAAGGAAGAAUGACAGGCUGAGCAGACAGUUUGGAAGAGCAGUUUCACCAGUAAUGAUUAACAAAUACCAUAUGACGACAAAGCAAAAAUACCAGCCUUACCCAGUAACAUCCUCCAAGGUGCAGGGGUCAGGAGUGGGAAAUCACUGAAUCAUUGUGACUCCGGGUUUUAUCUGCCUUCCUUUGCCAACAAAGAUACACCUGGUUUCGUAGUGGCUUCAGUCUCAGCUAGCUUCAGUGACUCAGUAGUGUAGUGCAGGGGUCAGCAAACUUUUU